GACGAACGCUGGCGGCGUGCCUAAUACAUGCAAGUAGAACGCUGAAGGAGGAGCUUGCUUCUCUGGAUGAGUUGCGAACGGGUGAGUAACGCGUAGGUAACCUGCCUGGUAGCGGGGGAUAACUAUUGGAAACGAUAGCUAAUACCGCAUAAUAGCAGUUAUUGCAUGAUAACUGUUUGAAAGGUGCAAUUGCACCACUACCAGAUGGACCUGCGUUGUAUUAGCUAGUUGGUGGGGUAACGGCUCACCAAGGCGACGAUACAUAGCCGACCUGAGAGGGUGAUCGGCCACACUGGGACUGAGACACGGCCCAGACUCCUACGGGAGGCAGCAGUAGGGAAUCUUCGGCAAUGGACGGAAGUCUGACCGAGCAACGCCGCGUGAGUGAAGAAGGUUUUCGGAUCGUAAAGCUCUGUUGUAAGAGAAGAACGAGUGUGAGAGUGGAAAGUUCACACUGUGACGGUAUCUUACCAGAAAGGGGCGGCUAACUACGUG
rnacentral:rRNA from 1 species